UGCCUUCGUAAGGAGGAGGAAGGUGUGGACGACGUCAAGUCAUCAUGGCCCUUAUGCCCAGGGCGACACACGUGCUACAAUGGCAUAUACAAUGAGACGCAAUACCGCGAGGUGGAGCAAAUCUAUAAAAUAUGUCCCAGUUCGGAUUGUUCUCUGCAACUCGAGAGCAUGAAGCCGGAAUCGCUAGUAAUCGUAGAUCAGCCAUGCUACGGUGAAUACGUUCCCGGGUCUUGUACUCACCGCCCGUCACACCAUGGGAGUUGAUUUCACUCGAAGCCGGAAUACUAAACUAGUUACCGUCCACAGUGGAAUCAGCGACUGGGGUGAAGUCGUAACAAGGUAACCGUAGGAGAACCUGCGGUUGGAUCACCUCCUUUCUAG
rnacentral:rRNA from 1 species